rnacentral:rRNA from 1 species
GUAGUUGACUCCUGGCUACAGAACGACGCUGGCGGCAGGCUUAACACAUGCAAGUCGAGCGGAUGUAGCAAUACAUUAGCGGCGGACGGGUGCGUAACACGUGGGAAUGUGCUCUUGGGUGGGGAAUAACGCAGGGAAACUUGCGCUAAUACCGCAUAAUGUCUUCGGACCAAAGAUUUAUCGCCCAAGAAUCAGCCCGCGGCAGAUUAGCUAGUUGGUGGGGUAAAGGCCUACCAAGGCUACGAUCUGUAGCUGGUCUUAGAGGAUGAUCAGCCACACUGGGACUGAGACACGGCCCAGACUCCUACGGGAGGCAGCAGUGGGGAAUAUUGGGCAAUGGGCGAAAGCCUGACCCAGCCAUGCCGCGUGAGUGAUGAAGGCCUUAGGGUUGUAAAGCUCUUUCAGUGGGGACGAUGAUGACGGUACCCACAGAAGAAGCCCCGGCUAACUUCGUG